CCCACAUUCCCCCUCAAACCGAUUCAUGCCAGAGUUUCAAAGAUAACGCCAGGAUCUACGCUUUUCUAGUCUACAUUCCAAGUUUCCACAAGAGCUCGGCAUACGGUUCCCUCCCCGACAGGAUGGGACAGGACAGCCAGACUGUGGACCUAGGCAGCCACAAGGUCAUCUACUGUGUUCAUGGUAAACCUAGUGGCUGCUGUGCCACUGUUGUCAACGACUCUUCCAAACCCAUCCAUCAUGUCUGCCGAUAUACCCAGAGAGACUAUAACUAUAGGUUAGUAUUUUAUACUGAUAUUUAUAUUUGUGUCAAAAAAGGUCCACACACUAGUUUGAAACGUUUUACUUUGUUGAAUUCAUUAUUUUAUACUUAUUUCAUUUAAGUAAAGCCUUUUAUUCGCUUGAGGAAAGCAGACACCACUGUGAAUACUCACUAUGAGCAGGAUAAUUGUGGGUAAGAGGCUCUUGAAUUUUGUUUGUGGUUUGAAAGGAUACAGUUUCCUUCUCUUUGAAGACUUCCUAAACAAAAAUCUACAACUAUGCACCUGGUCUGCUACUAAACUAGUGCUUGUUAUUAUGAGAGGGUUUCAUUCCCUGG
rnacentral:misc_RNA from 1 species